AUAGAUCCAUGAGAGGGGUGAGCUCGUCCGUGCUUUUUUCUCUCAUGCCAUGUGCAGUCCGCCAUGGAUCCCAUGAGGUUGGGCUCAAGCACAAGAUUGAUGUUUCUUUUCUUGCCGUUUAUAUUGGAGCAGCGUGCAAAGGGCAGGACGACCGUGAUGCAAGCUCGUGCACCCGCUGCGUUACCAUGGUGUGCGACGGCGGAGACCGGUGCCGGCUGGGGCAGCGAUGCAGGAAACGGCACACCUCGUUGCUGGAACCGGCCGACUGGAAAGCUGCAACCGGCAUCCGUUGAUGCUGGAACCAGUAAUCAUUUUUGCUACCACAGGCGUUUGGUUUUGCUGGAACCACCGCCAAAUUUG
rnacentral:lncRNA from 1 species